ACUAGGGAGGUGAAGAUAAGCUUCAGGACUAAUGAUUGUCGUACCAACCCGAACCAACACUGACCUAGAAUGGGUCAGCAAGUCAGGUCAAUUCAGCUAUAAAUUCAUCUCCCUCACCCCGUUCGAUGGCUCUUGAAGGGCUCUCCAGUUCGUGUUCGAUGCUUUGAGGGUCUCCUUCACUGCCAGAUGCCAUUCGUUUAACCGGUAACCUCCCCCCUCUCUCCCCCCUUGCAUCCAUGAUGGCUCCCUCCUUUGUUGCUGCCACUUCUCCAUCGGAAAGAGCUAGGGUUCGAAAAAAUUGGGGAUUCUUCUCCCAAUCUCUAUUUCUCUCACUUUCCCCUCUCCCAUGUCCACGGCUUCCGGCUGCCACCGCUUCUUCGCCACUAGGAAAAGAUAGGGUUCAAAAUAGAGGUUUCUUCUCCCCAUCUCUCUCUCCCCCGCGUCCACGGCGGCCCUCCCACCCAGAUUUUGGCCCUCCUCCCUUUCUCCCCCUUCCUCACUCCCUCCCUCCCACGCUCUCUCUCCCUCUCUCUCCCUCCCCCUCUCCUCCUCCUUAUCCGUAUUUUCAGUAUGCCUUAGUGCAGCAAGUACAAAAUCAUAUUGUACUGAACUGGUCAUCAAUUGGUACGAUCUUGGGUACCGGUUCGGCAAACCUGGCUUAGGACUACUCCACAAAAAAGGAGGAGCCCGAUGAUGGUGACAAAUAUGGGUCGCAGUCUCGAAAACAUAGGUGGCACCUGGAGCAAUUCAAUCUAAAAUAUUAUGAUGGACAUGGAAACAUUUCCAUAGAAAACUAUCUUGGAUAGAUACCGCAUAACCACAACAAAUUACAAAUCUAACCCGGUGAAUCUUGAAUGAACAAGGCAAGGCUGUGAUCCACCACUUUAGUUGUGAUAUUAUGGUUCUUUAAGUAUGACCAGAUUGAUCUUCCAAAACAAAUUGAUGGUGGAGUGCAUGUACGUGUGUGUGACUGAUCAACAACCUCUCAAGAAAAAUACUUGAAGUGUCAUUCCACCAACAAAUGAGUAGGAUGGGUGAAUUAACAGUGGAUAAGUGUUUUGACCAAUUCAAACUACCAAACACAACAUACUAUCUCGAUAGUCUCCCUGCAAUACCUACAAGUGUGUCAAUAUUAGCACCAAACCCACCUGCAUAAUAGUUUUUGAAACUACAUGUCAGAACCCAUGUCCACCAAAGUCCAAUGCUUUAGAUGUUUUCCACACUUUUUAAUACUUCUUCUACUCCAUACUGGAUGGUCGAUAAUUUUAGAGGGAGAGGCUUCUUAGUACAUCAAUGACAUUCUAAACAUCAGCAUAACCCGUAAUUCAACUUCUCAGUGCAUAAGCCGUCUAUUGAUAAUUAAGAUAUUAUUAAGCGAGUUGCUUGACCAAAAAAGUACUAAAAUAUUACUGAAGUCAAUAAAUCAUUCUCAUCACUCAAGCAUAUAUCCAUAAAAUUUCAUCACAGAAAGUGGGAUGCACUUCUUUGCAAUUUACAACCAGUAUCCUCAUUUUCCCACCACUAACUAGAAGGAAUUCACUUUUCUGACUCCCCCUCUCAAUAACACAAUUUAACCCAUAAUAUGCCAAAUGCCCACAUGACCAAAUGUUUAAUUUCUUAAUUCAAACGCUAUACAGCAUCCAGAAGAUUAUCAUGCAACUAAUAAAACAGGGAAGAAACAACAAAAAGAACUACACCCAAUUAAUCAUCCAGUACACAGCCAAAGUAAGAAAGAUACACUCCAUCAAACAAAUAAAAGAAACAAAAAUAGCAAGCAAGAAUCUAUACCAGCAAAAUAUACUUAGUACCCGCAAAGCUACAAAAACCCCAUCAAAACUAACCAAAAAAAAAAAAACUCUGAAAUAAGUAUUCGAGUAACUCGUAAGGCCCAAACUUUCCGGACUUCCUUGGUUGAAUUCAAAACCCAAUACCAAAUCCAACCAACCAAGUAUAAGAAAAAUUACAUACAGAAUCAAAAAUCGAACUUUUUCUUUUAGAAAGAGAUAAGGAGAGGACCUUUCGCAUCUGAGACUCGGAACUCCUCGAGGAUUUUGCCUAUUUGAAUGCGGGUGGCCUCGGUGACGACGACCGGCUGCUGCUCCCCUCCAUUCCCCUUCUUCUGCCCCUUCCUCCCCAUCUUUCUCGCCUCCUCUCUCCCUCUUCUUCUUCGCUUCUACUUCGCCACUGAGGCGAGCGCGAGAGGGAGAGUGGGAGCUCCGAGAGUCUCGCCUGCUUGGUUCUCGGCUUCUUCGAAUUCGAGGGUUUCUACGGCCCCCUAGUCGUCGUCUCUAGAGAACAAGGAGGGCUCUCUCUCUCUCUCCCGACCUUUUAUAUGUGGAGAAAGAGAGCCCUAAAGAGGGGACAGAAAACCGUGAUGAAUAGGGAUUGCACACCGGACCGGGCCGGUCUGGACCGGAAAUACCCACCGGCUCGAUCCCCCCUCCUUCCAGUCUUCAAAUCUUUUUUCAUUUAUGGGAGGACCAUGCCAAGCUCGGGCUCGGCUCAAGAUAAAAUUAAACUAAGUCGGAUCUGGAUCCGAUCCGACCUGAACUUCAGGCUUGAGCCCGUUACUUACUCGGACUUGAAUUAAACAUUUGGUCUAGCUCGAGCAUUGGAACAUGUUUGCAGUUUCAUUCUGCUAUCUAUUAACAAGCAUAGCAAAACAUGCAUGGCAGCAACAAAUCCUCUAUCAUAAGCAUUUGUCGCAAUAAAGAUCUAGGAUGUCCCUGUUCAACAUUUUGUCCCACCCUUUAUUUACUUUUGUGUAUGUCUUAAGAGACCAACACUGAUUGGCGUUUUAGAUGAGCAUCAAUCUCAUUUCUUUUUAUUGCAUGACGGGCCAUGAUGCAUGCCAAUAUCAAUGCCUUCUCCAGGUUCCUCCAAGUAAGCCCCUCUCCAGAACAUGACUCUCUCUUCAUACAAAGAGAACCCAUGUUAUUGUUUGCCAAGUAAUUGCCACACAUCCCUGUUGGUAUUUAGUAAAAUUGUUGAAAGCAAUCACUCAUUAACCUGUAUCAACUCCAGAAUACCAUGCCACAAAAGCUCAAGAGAGUAUAAGAACAUUACAUAUUUUUACAAAUAGAAUCAUCUUUAUGAAGAUUCUACUUAUCAACAUUAAAGUAGAUACAGAAAGAACCAUAGCUUGUAGUGAAGCAGACUAUAGCAACUGCGAGUAAUAGUGCUUGCACAUCCUUUUGUAAACCAGGUAAAGAAAAAAUCCAGCAAUUUAUUACACAAAUUUUAUAAGCAUUCAGUGCUGGAUCGUGUUCACUGGAUAAAAUCUUCAUGGUAGCUGUCACUAAUGACCGAGACAAACCUCUCGAGCCAUGGUAGCUGGUGGAGGUCUUUCAUGGUGUCGAUGUACGAGUCUGAACAAUGAGGUGGUGACUGGCAGGGGUGGUGGUCGCUCAAGCUGAAUCCUCCUGCAAGGAACCUUUGAAUCAGAGCCAGCUGGGCUCUUUCUUGCUCUGAGUACCCUUCAAUGGCUGCUGCUGGAGUAUCAAAAGAAUCCCAAGUCCACAGUUCUGAUUCCUGAUUGGACGGUUCAACAGAGGAUUCGAUGCUCCGAUCAUCCCAAAAUACACACUGACAAGUCUGAAUUCCGUCCCUGUAUUCAGCACCACAGGAGUAGCAGAACUCAUGUCCACACCUGUCAAUUAAGAAAACAAAUACAGCCUUUGUAAGAGCAUAGCUGAAGUGAUGAUAUAUACAUACCACAUGCAAACAGAACAGGAAGGAAAAGCUCCAACACUUAACAAUGGAAAUUAAUAAAGAAAAGAAACCAGAUAACAUGCUGAACCAACAGCAACUCCAUCUUGCCAGAUAAUGUUUGAUUGGAGCAAACAGGAAAACCAUGAAAAAGCUGGUCCGGAUAGUUUUACAAUGAGUUGGUUUAAUCAGGGAGGGUUGACCACAGCAGACACAUGAAAAAGGAGGCUGAGAUAAAUCCUCAAGGUUUCAAAAUUCAAAGAGUUUAACAACUGAAUACACAUAAAUAAGAAAAUCUCAUCAGCAGGAACUGCAUCACAAAAAAAACAGCAAAAAGAGAGGCUAAAAAAGACAUCUUUAUUGCAUACUCUAGAAGAUUAAUUUGAACAUUCCUUUUAAAAACUGUUCUAUAAUCCUCUGGUUGUAUUUAUGGACAUCAUACAUGCAUGUAAGAGCUAUAUAAAAUUUUAUUAAUCAAUUUUCAAUUUAAUAUUGUGUAUUGCCUUUAAGGGCUCGUUUGGUUCGCAGGAAAAGGAGGGGGGAAAGUGUGGUCAACGGGAAAGUAAUGAAAUGCCUCUUGUUUGGUUGGAGUUUUCAAAGGAGAGAGAUGGGAAAGUUGUAUUCCCAUGGGAAUAUGAUUCCCACAUUUCAUGGGAAAGUCUUUCCCAUGAGAAACAUAGGAAAGUUACUUUCCCAUGAGGUGGGAAUCACUCCUUUUUAUUUUUUCCCAAAAAGACCCUUCAGCAUUAAAAAAGCAUUAAAGAGGCAUUAAAGACCUAAUUUUUAUUAAGGGCAUAAUAGGAAUUAUACUUAACUUUCCUAGGAAAGUGGAUGGUCAACCAAACAUAAGCACUUUGGAAAUUUGUCACUUUCCCAUGGUUAACCAAACAUGCCAAAAGUACUUUUCUAGGUAUCCUCUUCCUAGGAAUCUGAUUCCCAGGAAUCAUAUUCCUAGGAGGGAAAAUACUUCCCGCGAACCAAACGAGCCCUAAAAUGUUAUACUACAAAGAGGAUGCGUGAACAAGAAAACGAAAAGCAAACAAAAGGGAACUGAGAUGGACAGGUAGUAAAACUAACAAUCAAUCACAGGCAAAAUCAGGUGAAGCAUUGAUCCUCUAGACUGAUAUCAAUAUUGAUAUGUAUAUUGUUAUUAGAAUUUGGCAGGUCAAUCAUUUUUACUGUCUCAAGCUUAGCUUAGAUUAAGAAAGUCUACAUGAUCAAACAGGCUCACAAUAACACUGUUCUAAUCUUUUAAAAAAACGUACAAAUAGAAAUAUUUAUUUGUCCCAAGUUCAUCAUAUGCUAUUAAAUUAUUUAAAUAAGGAAUGGUUUGAAGAAAAUAGCAUCUAUUUUUAUAAGAAAAUUCAGAAGAAAAAAAAAUAAGCUAGUUUCUGCCCAAGAUAUUGAACCAUCUGUCCCUCCUACAUUCACCACAAAUAUAUGUGUCUAUAUGCACAAUGCAUGCCUGGUGUGUGGUUUUUGUUCAUUCCUUUAAUAUAUAUAUCUUGAAUUUAUGAGAGAACAAAAACAAUGAACAGGUGCCGGUGAGGUAGAAAUAUAAAGAUCCUUAGUAAUAGCUGAUGGACAAAACAUAUAUGUACCUCGCAAGUAAUUCUGAAGAACAAUGCUGAUCUUACAAAAGGAAUGGUGAAAGUAGUUUCACAAAGCCAUUCAAAUAAUUCAAAUAUGAACAAUUCAUUAUGGUUAUAGAUAUGGUGUUCAGUAACAAAGCCUGUACUGAGUUAAUAAGUAGCCUUUAUUAGGAACGAAUUGUUUAGAAGGAUGGUAAAAUCGACAUAUAUAAUGCAUAAGAGACUCGUUUGUUACGGUCAUCUUGCAUCAUGAUAUUUUGGCUAAUUUCUACAAAUAUUCUUCUGUCUUUUUUUCUUAGGGUCAAUAAGGGAAAGAAAGGUUGAAGGGUUGCUCAAAGUUUUGUUUCAUGUACAACUUAGAGAGGUCAGUGAUGAUGUAAUGAGGAACAAAAAUGAGGGGGCAUGACUGAUACUAAAUUGCUAAAACAUUACUACUGUAUUAGGACAUGACCACUAAAACAUAGAUUGUUGUCCUUCAUCCUUUGGGCAGAGUCGACUCCAUUUUUGGAGACAAUAAAGAAGGACAUGAAAAAAGAAAUGCCGCAUUGAGGAAAUUCAUAUAAUGUAGGCCAGUACUGCAAAAAAGAUUUAGAAGACAUCCUGAUAACUGAUAUAAGACACCGUAAGACAAAUGGUCCAGGUAGAUCUACAAUGCCAUUAAGACAUUUUGAGUCUAAUCCAUUGAUUAUCAGUUACUAAUUAUUCUUUUCAUCGCCAUCAUUAUUGUUCUUGUAUGGUCAAGCCAACCUGAUCCGACUAACUUGCUGGUUGGUUGAUGGUGGCUAGCAAGUUCGCUGCGUGGGGGGGGGGGGGGGGGGCGGGGCGGAGCCACUCACAUAUGUUGUGGCGUAUCAGUAGUAACAGGAGAUGAGACCAUGAGGCUAUUAUGGAUAGGCGAAAGAAGACAAGAAUUGGGAAAUAGUACAUUAUAUGAAAGAGAGGCAUCUAAGUCCACUCACGUCAAUCCAAUAGUAAAGAUGUUCUUCCUGCAAAGAGAAAUAUGCACAUACAUCUGUUUACACGAUUAAAGUUUUCAUCUGCAAUGUCCAUUGUUACAAGUGUCAUCUUUAGCCUAGCUAUGUCAUGGACUAAUCAAAAUAGAAAAGGAUGGGCAUGUUAACAAAACAAAAAAAUCGAUCCAGCCCUUUACAGUAAAUGCCCAAAAUGGAUCAUCACUAAAGAAUUUGAUCUGUUUGAGAAAGCAAAAGGUUUUAACAGAAAUUACAUUUCAAUUAUCAAUAUCAACCAACAUAUUUUUUUCAUGUUUUCGUUUGGUCACAACUUCAUUAGGAUGCAUUUGUAUAUGGUAACCAUGGAAAAAUGGAUCAGAGUAGAAUCAAACCUAGUACUGAUUUUAAGAUGAAGUUGUUGCUACUUGGGACAUGAAUGCCACACACACACACACAACAAAAAGGAUAUUAGUUGGUGACUGAAUAUCAACAUUAGGGCUACGCACAUGAGAAUUCCAUACUUACAAGAAACCUAAAGGUCAUCUUCUCCUCCUUAGGACAGGAGGAAGCAUGUCAAAAUUGGGGCAAGGGAGGGAUUCAAACCCAGGUCAUUGGAAUCCAACACCCGAUAACUUUACCAACUAAAUAGUUACUGGGGCGACAUGAAUACGAUCUCCAAGAAUCAUUUACAUUCUUUUCCUUUUUAUCUACUCUUUCUAAGUCCAAGGGAUCUUGGAGUUUGCUACCAAGCAGCAUGAGCUCCCAUCAUGUGACUAAUCUUUCCAACAGAUCUUCCAGGAUUCGUGGCAAGCCUCUCUUACCCAUUCAUAAAGGAUUAACAUCAGAUGUCAGUCAAGCACAAAAUCUUCUAGAACUUUGAUGGAUUAUACUUUGGUAUUGCAUAUAACCAACUCCAUCAACAUGCAUAUUUGGACAUAAUCUUCCACCAUAGUUAAACUGGUUGAAAUCUCAUCUAUGUAGUAGCUAGAUAUUUCUAACGUGAAAUCUUGUCCAAAAACCAUAAAGGCAUAAACUAUUGGCAUUCUUGCUUUCCCAAUUCAGAUAUUAUUUGAAUUUAAAGUACUGAAGGAAAGCUCAAUCAAGAUGUUUUAUUAACUAUAGAUCCAGAUCUACAGAUCUUGAACAGAAGAUAAUAUAAUGAUGGAUCCAGUUCAGAAGGAUAAUCAUAAGUGAUGUACUCUUGGACUUGAGAGGGUUUUAUGUAGGAAAAUUCAAAACAGAGACCCUUACAAGAUCAUUCUUUUCAUAAAUUUGUUUAUAUAUCUUGUUCGUACAGGCAACAAAUUGAAUUUGUAUAUGUUGCAACCAAAAAUAUAUUGACUGUAUUCCUACGAUAACCAACGUAACUUUAGUAUCUGCAGAAGGUACAUGGUGUAACUAGAUGUGUUGUAUUGUAUUGUUAAGACUGCAGGCAGAAGUAAACUGUCAAUACUACAAAUGGUUUUAUAGCAGUUCCACAUAAAUUGGUGCAGUGGAUGAAUCACGAAUCGCAACAAGCAACUAAAUAGCAAAAUUAAGUAUUACAUCUAAUCGUUAAAAAGAAAAAAAGUAAGUUUGAAUUUUGCAAAGCUAACAUUAAGCAUAGUUGACAAUACCAGCAGGUCAUGUGGUGGCACCCCUGUGUGAGUUCAAUCAUUCGCCUGCACUGCUGACAACGUCUCCACCUAUUAUUUUGUGCUAACCGAUGCAAAGUGAUAUCCCCUGCAUCUCUCUCCUCUUCUGGUAGGUUUUGAAACUCCUGACAUGUCAUCAAGGAAUGCCAUGGCACACCACAACUGAUGCAGAUAUUUCUGUGACACUCCGGGCACUCAAUGCAGUUGAAGUCAGACUGACUUGAAGAGCUUGCUCGAGAGGAUAAAUGCUGGUUAGCGUUAAGUAGCACUGAGCAAUUUGGAUAGGGGCAAUAAAUUCUCUCCACAUUAAGCACAUCAGCUUCCAUCGUGACUCUCUGGAAUAAAUCAUAACUAGUAACUGGAAGAAAAGACUUGCACUCACUGCUCGAGAUAUAACGCCUGCAUCUUGCUUGUGGGCACCUAACAGGAACUUGUAAACUCUGUAAUUUUGUUUCUACAAACAUAAUCAUGCAAUCAGAACAAAAUUUGUGGGAACAGUUCAUCUUUAUCAUCUGCGAACUUUUCUUCUCCUCACAACAGAUAGAACAAUAAUCAAUUGAUCCAUCAGAAGUCAAGGGGGUGAUGCCAACUGCUUCUUGGGCCAAGUGUAACGGCUUCUCAAGUUCAAAGCUAGAAACCAGCAUUAAAUCAAAGUCUUCUAGUUUAUCAGCAAGUUCCAGAAUCCUGUGGCCUAAAGCUACCAAAAGUGGGUCUUCAAGUAUUUCUGUUUCCGCAAUCUGUUGUAUUAAAUUAUAUAAUCAAUGUCGUCAAUCCAUCUAAAGCUUAUAGAGAUUUAGACAUAAUGAUAUUCACAAAUAUCUAAUGGUAAUAUGCAAUCAGAAAAUAAAAGCCAUAAUAGAACCACAACAAUAUCACAUAAAGCAGGGUUGUGCCAAAGAGCUACAACAAGAUGGAGAGUAACAGACUGUUUGAUGAUGGACAGUAUAAAAGGGCUGAACAGAAAAAUUAGGUGAUCAUAUCAAUAAACAAAAAAAAUUGAUGUCCCACAAAAAAAAAAAAGUGGAACAUGGGGCAAUGUUAAAAUAAAACCACAAGUACAACCUGGAUAUGUAUAUAAUAAUUAGAUUACCAGCUUAAAACUUAAAAAAGGUCAAUAUUUGCAUCAACCAACAAGAAUAUGCAAUAUAAGACCAUAUUCCAGACAAUAAGAAAUGACAGUGCUGAAUGGAAGGUACAAACCAAGGUCACAGCCUCAUCAUAAAAUGACAAUAAUAACCAUUCAAGCUCAACUAUAUUAUGGGAAAGUAAAAUAGCUUAGCCAAGGAAGAAAAUUUUGUGAUACUGGUAUUUCGAUUUAAUAUCAACUACAGCCAAAAGCUUACCUGAUAAUAAAGGCUUUCUGAAUCUGUGAACGCAUAGAUCUUCCGAAAGCCAUUCUGCUGAGCCACCAAUAGACCAUCCAAUAAAGCUAAGUGCUCUGCCACUAAUUCCUGCACAUAGAAAUCUAGCUUCUUCUGCACUUUAAGCAUGGGAACCCCAGAUGAUCUUUCCAUAACUACUCCGAUUCCAGAAACUCUGGAGCCGAGACCACUGGCCUUUGAGACAGAUAGACCCUUAAAAAACAUUCUCAAAGAGAAUUCAUCAAGUUCUUCCUUAGCCCCUUCAGCUAAAGAUUCCUCUGUGUCUUGCCACUCCUCAUCUUCUGCACAACAGCUGCGGAAUUCUUCUUCUGCAUCAGAAUUAUCAAUUGGUUCAUCCUCAAAAUAGUUUAAAGUCUCCAUUUUCCAAACCUUUUUAAAAUCCAAAGAGCAAUUUUUCCUUUUUUGGAUUAGAAACGCAUCAUAUGGAAGCCCAUCCUACCAAUUAGAAUUUUUAAGAAGCUGAAGAAAGAAUUCAUUCAACUGAUCCAACUCUACCACUAUCUAUGAACUACUAGAGGACUGGUGGCCCAGAAUCAAGGAUUUGUUGGGCUUUUUAUGUAUGAAAGAGGAUAUAAUCCGUCAACCUCCUUCCAAAUGAAAAAAAAUAAAACAAACCCAUUAAACACACUCAGAUCCUCCCAGCACCUGCAAAACCUUCCCCAAAUCCCCAAAACCCCUUCCCUCUCAAACUUUUUAAUCAGAAGGUCGAAUUCCAAACUAUAAAACCCGUUCUUUCACUGUUUUUCAGACCUUGCGUAUCCUUGCAUCUCUGUGAACAAGCAUCCUGCUGAUUAAUCAAAAAAACUUCCCAUUGGUACCCCCAAUCUCCCCCACAACCCCUAAUUCCAGCGAUUCCAAAACAGCAAAGAUUUUCUAAAUCAGAAAUGGAAAAUCAAAAUAAGCCCAAAAUAACCAACAAAGGAAUCAAAAACCUUUCCUUUUCCGAACCCAGCACCUCAAAAAAUCCACCUCCGGUCAAAAAAUGCGAAAAGAAUGGCUUUUUGAGCUCCGAAAACCGAUAAAAAACCGCGCCGAGAGGGACCAAAAACCCGACAAUCCAUCCCCUAUCGCGAUUUCUAUCGCUCCCCCUCUCCCUCCUCCCGGACUCGAAUAGAAAUCGAUCUCGAAGGUGGAAGAAUAAAGAAAGCCCUAGCGAGGCAUCUGACCAAAAAGUAGGCAUUUUUAUUCCCCCGGUCGCCUUUCAAAGGGAGGAAGCCUCCUGAAAACGAAUCGGGGUUGUCUCUUUUGCACGAAAGAAGGAUUCGCCUUCCUUCGUGUGCAUCCACCAUUUGAUCACUAACGGCAGAGAUCUCAAAGCGUCCUGUGGAUGAUCCAACGGAGAUUCGCGAGAAGUAAGGUGAAUGCUUCUUUCGCGCAAAAGAUACAACCCUGCCCGAGAUGCGAAGAAAAAGAAAAAAAAUAUUAAUAAAAGCAUGGCUGGUUAGACAGCCUAAUCAUUUCUCCCAGGCGUGGAAAAUAAUAGCUUCUAGUGGGUGGUUACCGCGUGGGCCCACCACGGCACCGCCCGUAGCUGCCGUCGGUUCUGUGUACCACCACGUCAUGGUGGCCGUGAGAUUCGCUCGUUUGGAGACCUAACUUUACACCUACCCGUGAUCAAUGCAAAAAUUAAAAAAUAUUUUAUAUUUAAUUUUUAAUUUUUUAUUUUUUUAAAGUUAGAAAACAGAAUAUCACAGAGCUUCUGAGACAACUCUCCAUCUCCUGUCCACACCAUACUGCCGACGUGGUUGGCCACACCUUCCAGUUUGCAGUCUCAUUAGCUUCUCUAUAUAUAUGAUUAGCCUAGACGACCCAUCCAUCCCUCACCAUCAUUUAGAAAUCACAUCACCGACAGCGACCCUCGGACCUCCGGAUUCCGCUAAUGACCGUGCGGGGUCGAUAAGAUGAUGAACCAUGCGUUGUUUUAGUGCACAUGAGCGAGGGUAAUAUAGCGUGAGAUAAGAUAUUUUAUGAGAGAAAGGUUGAAAAUUAAAAUAAUUUUCUUAGAAUGGAAUAAGAUAUUUCCCACUAUUAAAAACAUAACGGAUAUUAUAUAUAUUAAAAUAAUAAAUGCUUAAUAAUAUAUAAAUCACUUUAAAAUAUGCCAUUUUUUCAUUGUCAUCCAAAUAUGCAGAAAUUACGCAUCGUAUACUCGCACAUCAGCUUCUCAAAAAAAUAUUAUAAUAAAAAAAAUUUUACAAAUCAAAUAAUUUAUUUUAAUAAAUUCAAAAGAAUAAAAUCAUGUUAUCUUGCAUGAUAAGAGAAUAAUCCUAUGAAAGAGGAGGUGAACAAAGACUUAUGCUCAUAUUAUGCAAAGGAAAUGGUACAUUAUGCCGAUCCAAAUGAUAUGCAGAGAGUACCCUCUCUUGGUAUCAUGGUUGGGACAUUUGAAGUUACUCCUUAAAAAAUAUUUAGGGAACAACUUUAUACAAGAAGUACCCUCUCUUUUAUUCACAUGACAUCAAUAUGUUAUAAAAAAAUAAUUAAAAAUUAUUUUGUUUGAAUCUUGCUGUUGUCAUUUAUGUGAAAACUGAUAAUAUAUUGGUUAUUUUUUAAAAUUUAUCUCAUAAGGUGAUCCACUUAGCAAUUAGCAUUGCUCAUUGAUUGUUGGUGUCCAAUGCAUGAAGAAGAAGUAUGGAUGGUUUUAAGUAUGUAAAAAGAAGUAUUGAUAGUUGUAGCCUUCGUUAGGAUAAAUAUGCUAUUGCUUUUAGUUGGUGCACUUUUUAAUUCUAAUUCCUUAAGUAAGAGUUGAACUAAUUAUUAUAUAUAGAUUUUCAUAAAAUAAUAUCUAAAAUAUCAAAUUUAGAAAAUUUGGAGAUAAUUGAAAUCUUAAAACAGAUCAAUUGAUGUAACAAAAUCAAACCCAAAAUCUUUGGUUUCUAAACAAAGAGGUGUGAUAAUUGACACAAGCCUCAAUUCAAAUUUCAGAAAUAUAUCAGUGCUGUCUUUUUUUUAUUGAUACUUUACCAUUGAUUGCUAGUAUGCUGUCUCUUUUAGUGAUACCUAGCAAUUAGUAUUGCAUAAUAUGUGGCGCAAGCCAGCAAUUUUAUAUUUUCCAUUUUUGAAUAGGAGCUAAACUAAUUUGUAGUGUAUAUUUUGUUGAGGUUUUGUAAGAUAGGAUAUAAAAAAGGGUUGAUAUCUAGAUGAAUUAAGUCUAAAUUUUUAUUUAUUUUUGUUUAGAUGGUGGCAGCAAAAGUUGAAAUAUUGCAAUAUCUCAGUUGAUAUAAAAAAAUAAAGAUAUCAGAACAUUAUAUACCAUAAAAUUAAGAUAAUUAUUAUGUUAAAAUAUUAUUUGAUAUUGAAUUAAGAAAGAUUUAAAAUGCAAAAGAAAGAUUGGAAAAUUUUAGUUAAUAUAUUAGUAUUGUCUCAAUCUAUUUGUUAAAUAUAGUAAUUUAUAUUAAGAUAAAAAAGGGCUAGAAAUCUCUAUGCAUCCUUGUAUUGGUGUUUGUGCAUGAUAAUAAUAUAAGUUGAUUAUGAUACCAAAAAAGAUUAAAGUUUAAUUUCUAAAUGAAAAAUAAAAUAUUUAUAUAAUGUUUUAUAAAAGAUAGAUAAUAAUACGAAAAAUGAUACUUUGUCAUAUACUAUGCCAGAAAUGAAGUGCCCUAAAAGCCAUUCUCAUCUCUAACACUAAGAAUAGUUAAGAUAUUAUGGCCAUCUCCUAUCCAAAUAGUUGUAUACAGUAUAAAAUGUGAGUUACAUAUUGGUCAUCAAGCUGGAAAAGGAUCCACAUGUACUCCAAAAAUUUAUCCAAAUAGACCGACAUUGUCCACUAGGAGGAUUCGAUAAACUAGCGUACUUUAAACUUCUUCAUAACUAUGAUUAAGGUUGGACAUCGCACUUAUAUGGCUGCCGAGAUAAAUAAUGAUAACAUAGAGUUCCUCCUUCACCGAGUUUAGACCUCACAUUGACACUUGGGUGUGUUAUCAUACUGAAUGGUUAAUAUUGAAAAUUCACCUCACAAAGUAUUAUCAGGGAUGUAUGAACCAGGUGCAUGAGUUUGCAAGUGGUCCUUUAACCUACAGGAUAGGACAUCUUACUAUAUCAUAUAUUGACCAUGACAUCCAAAACUAUAUCCUUAAUAGCGAUCACAAUGGUUUACUGGAUUCGCACAUGAUUAAAGAUCAAGCUGUUCAACAUGAGAACCAUUAUAAUGACAAAGGGUCCAUAUUAAAAUAAAUUUGUGGUUAGACAUAUCAAAAUCGGUAAGGCAAUAACUUGAAAAAAUUUGAAAAUAAUUAUUUUGUAACUUAUGAUAGUAAGUAAUUAAUUAUUGUCAAAAAAGAUUUACGUGACAUUUUUAUAAGAGGAUGUGUAGCACAAUCCAUUAUUUUAAUAAACCAUGAAUUAUAUGACUAAGUGUUUGACAGUGUCAUGCUCGAUGAUCAUAUAGGGACACUGAAACAAUAGGGGACUGAAUUGCAUGAUAUAACUUCUAUAGGAAUAAGAAGACCAAUUACUUUUAUCCCACAUACUAAGAUGUUCAAUAAUAUGUGACUAAGCGGACUAAAAAGGCAAGUCUUUGGUGAGCAGAAUUCGAGUUAACCUAUCUCAAUAAUAUAUUUAGCACGUGCCAUUUGUCACUAGGUCAACUAGAAUGAGAUUCUAGUUGAUUGUUCUCUUAUAGGUUGGAUCAAGUAAGAUCUAAAUUUAGUUAGAGAAAAAAUUGGGCUAGAAAAAUAGUUCGAUAUAGGAAUAGAGCUAGGUUGAGUCAAGUGAAAUUGGACCUCGAUCAACCCUAAGCCACUUAGAUCGGAUCCAAGUUGGGGUCGUCAAUAGGGUAGAUGGCUAUCACCACUUAGAGGAGGUGGCCUCAGAGUUGGCACCAUUGCCUUCCAAUGCACCACUGCUCUAAUGUUUUCUAAUGCUGGAGAUCAACUAAGACUCCAUGAGAUGGGGGCCACAAAAGGAUGGGGGUGCCAAUUCCCCAUCCGUAUCUCUUUUGAAGCUGAGUCCUUUAAGGACUUUAAUCCAGACACUUUAUGAGUCGCACUGACUUGUACCACAUAAUAGGUUAAUAAUCUAGAGAAUUUUUAAUCAAAUGUUUGGGCUCAAUAAAAUUACUGUAAUAAAAAAAAAUAACAAACAAUCCAGAACUAGUCCUGCUUUUAUAUCUUAAAGUAUUAAUUUAUGUGUAUUAGAGACUGUUAGUUACUAGCAAUGGAACUAACUUGCACUCUCCAAAUUUCUAAGAGAUUAGAAAAUUUUAGUCUGUGAGGCAGAGUCUUUAGUUUAAUUUGCUCCUCUGACUGCUCCCAUCAGUUAUGAUUGUCAACUUUCUAGGGAGUGGUUACUUGUCCUUUGUUAGAUGAUGGGUGGGUGGGAGGAUUCAACCCAUCCCUCCAUAACCCAUUAUAUUUUACCUUGAUGAACUGGUCCUCUGCCACCUUCCUUCCAAGAAAGAAAAGAACUGAACCAAAUAUUUUUAAAUUGCUCGGUUGUUAAUUAUACAAAUGCAUCCACAGUACUAGUGACCAAAUUCUUAUUCUUUCUAAUUACUUGCUGACGGAACUUGUUGCUUGGAUCACCUGCUAAAACAUAACAAUGAAACAACACUAUAACUACAAACAGUUGGCCAAAGUCUUGGCAAUUGAAAACUCUGCAUGGCUUGUCUUCUUAAUAAAGGCGACGAUGCCGGAUACAAGCUCAGAAGGCACACACAAGGUCCUCUUUGAUCUUUGCUUAGGAGGAAAUGGCUCUGUUUUGAUCGCUUCUUCUUCUUCUUUUUUAGUAUCCAGCCUCCUUUUGCGCAUGUUUGUUAGUGGAGGUGAUAAGGGGCUAGUUUGAAGCCUAUUCUAAUAGAAUUCUAUAAUCGAUGUUUGAGGUUAGGCUUAAGGAGCCCUCUUGGUUCCUCCACUAUCUUUUUAACCCAUUUCGCCUCUAAUAAAAUGUGUGGUCAUCCAAUUUUUUGCCUAAAAAAUAUUGGGAAGGGAAAAAUAGUGAUCGUAAAAUAUGAAAGCAAAGUAUAAAGUAUGUUAUCUGGGCCUAAUUAUGUAGUAAGAGAAGUUAAUAGUGUAGUUGAUUGGAUGGCAACUUAUAUGGCAAACAAUGCGGAAUCUAUAUUAUGGAUUUCUUUGGCAAAUCUUUCUAUUCAGUCUUUUAAUAUUUUAUUUUCUGAUUCCCAUAAAUGUAUUUAUACUCAAUUAGUUUAAAUGAUCCGAGUUACCAAAAAAAUAUAAAGCAUCUACAUUUUCAACUUUUCCUAACCUUGAAAGAGAAGAGUUUGAAAUUCAGCAAUUUUAUAUAAAUAGAAAAAGAGAAAAUAAAAGAGUACUGCACCUAAAACCAAAUUUAGAUAUCCUAUGAUCUAAUUUUCAGAGGAGUCUUGGAAAGAUACGAGUCAAUAAUGAUUGAGAAUGCAGUCUUGUCGAUAGAUUUUUGCGAGUCUAAUGAAAAAUAGAGAAGAUGACGGGGUUUAGAAAGGACUGUGUGGGUGCCAAACGAAAAGUAGAAGGGAAGAGAACGAAGUGAAUUUUUCUAUUGAACCAAAAGAAUAGGAAAAGAAAUCUAAUUAAAACGAACCUAUUGGCUCGAGGAGAGAUUUCAAGAUGGUCUGAAGUUAGGACACGUGUAAUGCAUGCAAGGACUCGAGCCUCUUGAGACGAACACAUCACCCUGUGAGGUAAACCACUUCCAAUUCCGUAGGACUGUAAACUGCUGAGUUCUUUUUUCUAUUAUAUAAAGUAGCAGGUGGUUGCAGAUGAUAGAUAGCACUAAAAGAACCCCUUCGAUCUUUUGCAGAAAAUUCUAGUUUUUUGUUAUCUCCAUUUCAACUGAUCUUACGCCGUUCUCCAUCGACAAUGGAUUCCUUUUUCCAUUAUUUGGUCCAGAAGGAAAUAAUGGUCGCUGCUCCAACCUGUGUUUAAGCCUCCAGACACUAUUUUUUUGAGAAGAGUUCAUCCAAGCACUUAAGAAACAGAUGAGAGCAAAGGCGUGUCCACAGAUGGAGACCCUUCUUUAUCAUAACAUCCCUUUUGUUGCAGCUUGUUACAGAUGGGGUCUCGUAUAGUCGUAUACAGAUGGAAGGAUAGCUCUUGUGUUGAAGGAAUUUGCCUUGGCCAUCAGCCCCUUUUAACUUUAUCCUGUCUGUUUUAUAAAGAAACUUGAUGAAGGGCUGCCAUCAAUCGGUAUGGAAGUAUUGGGAAAUAUUUUCAUGUCAGUCUUUCAUAAUAUUCAAUGAUUUUUAAAAUACUAAAUAUUCUAAUUAAAAUUUGAAAUGUAUUCUAAGGAUCAGUAUACUAGCUCAGAUCUCAAGGAGAUCUUAGUUUAUUCCUAGGACAUCGGUCAAGGUCUUGUAAUAGCACGGUCUACAUCUGAUACAGCAUAUUCUUUUCCAUCACCAUGCAUGGCAUUAGCAAUAUCCACAAAGUAGUUUUUUUUUUUAACUUUUUCUGAGAGAAGCAAAAAUUAUAUGAACUAAAUGUAAUAAACACAUAGAGGGAAUUAAAAUUGUCUAUAACAUGGUGCAAUGAAUUGAAUGAUGCCAUACAUAUCAUCCUAUCGUUUUCCUGAAACCUUUCAUUUAUAGAUUUCUAGGACAGAUAGGAAACAUACAUAGAGCCCAAAAAACAAAAUUUAGAACAAAUGAGCCAUCAUCAUUACAGUAACAACUUAUAAACCACAUCCAGAUGAAAUCUCAGGACCUUGAGGGAUACAGUCCCGGUACAAUCCACUUUUGGCUCCACUGCAGAAGUUUGCGAUGAGUUCUGCCGUUCUCACAAACCCAAACCAAGACAACAGUCCUGCUACUUUAAGCCCACAUUGCCAUGACAGACAUGCCACCAGCUCCCAAAAGCACUGCUCCAUAAGCCCACAUCUGAAGCUUAACGUUGCUCUGCAGCUUAGGCCCCAUGAAAUCCGCCGACAAGAGAUCUACCAAUGCCAUGUAGUUCAAAAGCCCGGCUGAACAGGCAUUCAGUAGCCCAACCACAAUGAGAGCCGUUGGGCUGUUCUCACGGUAAACGUUUGUGAGUGCAAUCCCGAGAGCAAUUCCAAAUGGUGUCGUUGUGGCAAAGAAGAAGACUAGUAUGGCUUUCAUCUUCAACUUAUACUCCGCCUGCAAAACCAUUCAUAGAUGUUCAAGUGAUGAGCAUGGUGCUGUAUUAAUAGUUCUAAUGAUCUUUUUAUACAACCACUGCAUCAUUUCACAAUACCAGGAGAAUGCAACCGCCGAGGCCCAUGCCUUCAAACAAUUGGUGGAAACAGAGUGCAGCCACUAGAGGCCUGAUGGUGCAAGGGUUCUCAGAGGCGCCCAUCGAGAGGCCUAUCACCACAGAGUGCACCACAAUUCCUAGCUCCAGUACCUGCACCACAACAUUAAUAUAGCAUCACUUAGCAUUUGAUUGAGUACCAACUAGAAGUUCUCAAAAAAUAAGAAGAGGAAAAAAGACUAGUAUGGAUAGUUUCUAGCCUGAGCAAUGACGCGGUUCCUCUGCAACGCCGAAUCCAGUACUCCAUCCUUCUCAGACAGGAUGACAGCGCCGUUCCCAUGGCCAUGGGCCACGGGCACCACCGCACGGCUCCCUUUCUCCUGAUCUCCAAACUCAGCCCCACAGCAGGCCUUCCUCCUACCACGAGAGGACAUCAUGAGGGAAUCCACGGCCAACGUGAACACGGCCGACAUCAUCGCGACGAAGGUGGUAAAGGGGAACUUGUGCCACGGCUGGUCGGGCAGGCACUCGGAAGAGAGAUCGUCAAAAGAGUCCGGCAACACGUGCAUGUAGCCGGUGGCGAGGAUCACCCCCGACGCGAAGGCCUUGACGAGCGCGAAGGGGUUGCUGUCAGGACGGAACACGGAGACCGACCGGGAGACGAGGGGGAGGCAGACGCCGACCAAGCUGGCGACGAGGAUGCAGGCGAUGGCGAUGAGCUUUAAACGCAAGGCCUCGUGCUUGUUCUGGCAAGAGCCGCUGCGGGACUCGGAGCCGCACUGCUUGACGCCGGAAUUCUCCUCGUUGGCGGCGAGGGGGUAGGCGAGGAGGAGGAGGAGGAGGAGGAGGAGGACGGCAUGGGAGGUGGAAGAGGCCAUGACGCCGGCUUGGAGUUGGAGUUCGGAGUGGAGUAAUGGUGAUGAGAAGAAUGGGGGCGGGAUUUAUAGGAGGCAAUUGGUUCUAUAUGGAAUGUUUUCGAUCUCUUCCAUUUUGGUAGAAGCUUUCUUUGGAAUAGUCGGGGAGUCGGGACUGCGGCGCGCAUUUCGCGUGAUUUCGUCCAGCGGGAGAGGAGGUGGUUGCGUGAAAAUGGGAUACCAAAAAUGCCCCCAACUAGCAUGCAAUGUUAGCUUAUACGAGUAGAUAUUAAGGAGCAUUAAUGAGGGUAGUUUUAGAAAGAAAAAUGGCGUGUGUCGUUCUUGUGGUCGCAGGGAGGCGGGCCGUGGCGAGGAGACCAUAGCGGUGAAGCCUCGCGUGGUGGCGACGACUCCGUUACGUGGGAGACGUCGCCGUCGUGGGAGGCUUCGCAGUUGGCCGUUCGCGCGGGAACUGUAGAAAUUUUAUCCUACACCACGUGGCGGUGCAAGUCCAUGCAAGCGAGCGCGCGUGAUUGACGUGGUGCACCGCAACGUGGUAUAAUCUACGGCAUGCGACGUGAAUCUAACGGAUAAGAAGUGCAAGAGCGCUGCAAAAGUGUAGGCCCGAAGGCAUUCAUUGAGGCUUGAAAGCAAGAGGAUGUGCUCGGGAUACCAUUUGAAUUGACAGUUGGCUUUUAUCCUGCAAGGUCUUUUGUUGUUUGCUCUUUUAGAUGGUUCUAGGAUGAAUAAUUAUAUCGAAAGAUACAUCUCACUAUUUUAGACUUCUUUGGAAUUCAAAGAGUUGUUUUGAUUGCAUGGGCUUAAAACUGCAACUGGUGAUAUAGAUUGAAAAGAGAAUGCAGAAUUGAGUAAUGGCAAGGGAUUCGCAUACCUUAUGUGGCAUGCCGUGUAUUUUAUUUAUAGAAGGUAAUUACAAUAUAUUUUUGAAAAUAAUUACAAGGAAGAAGAGAGCAUUAAUCACGGGCCAAUGAUACUUCGUUCCUUAUUUAUAUACACUUCUUUUCUUCUCUGUAGGAGGAUCUCGAAUCUCGUUAAUAGGGAAGAGCAUAAAUCACGACUCAAUGACAAUUCAUUCCUUCUCUAAUUACAAAUCUUUUCUUCUCUAUAGGAGGAUCUCGAAUCUCACUAAUACCCUCCUGCAAGGUUAAUGGGGGAGAGGUCACGUUGAGCUUGUCACAUAGCUGAAGAAACCAUAGAGCACGGAGAGGUUUUGUGAGAGCAUCCACAAGUUGAUCUUAGCUGAAGAGAAACCGAAUAUCCAAGGCUCGAUUUUGAAUUUGUUCCCAAAUAAAGUGGUAAUUAAUCUCCACAUAUUUUGUACGAGCAUAAAAACUGGAUUUGCCGAGAGAUAAGUGACAUUAAUAUUGUUGUACCUGUCAGACUAAGUUUUUAUAAUAUUGAUUUUGAUGAUAACAAAUAUUAUGCGAAUAUUUAUUAAGAAGAUUUUCAAAGUGUUGUUAGUAUUUUGCAUAUUACCUUGUUCUAUAUGCAUACAUGAAUUCCUUAGCAAUGCGCUUCAUAAAAGGUUGGUUCUAAAUAUGAAUUGGAUUAAUAAUUAAUGAUGAUAUUUUAGUAGUUAUUUAUACUGUUUUUAAAUAUUACUUUUUGUAUAAAUGAAAGUGGUAUACAUUUAAAUAAAUGAAUCAUUUUUAGUAACAUGAUUGUUACAUACACUUCUUGGACAUUGUCUUAGUAUUUUUGGCAUAUCUCGACAUAUACUAACUAAAUUGCUUCUAGUAAGUGAAAUAAGAGCUGCAAAUGGAGUAAUUGCAGCAGACAACUCUUCAGAACCAGCUUUAGUAUUUUGACUACAUCUUUCAAACCACAUAGAGAAAAAUCUAAAAAAAAUAGCAAGUAAACAACUCAUAGAUCUACUUUUCAUCCUUCUAUGGCUUGUGCAGAAAAAAUCGUUUGAAGGAGGAAAUAGAGGCUCCAAUCUAUCAUAUCAAAUCAGAAAGUUAAAAUUCAGAAUUUUUAAAUUUGAAAUUCAAAUUUUGGAGCCCAAUUCAAAGGUAUUUUGGUCUUUUCUCAACACCAACAGUUAUGAACUCUUGAAGCCUAUCAAUAGGAGUAUCUUCAUCAACAUUUAAAAAGAAGAAUUGAAGAAAACUCAAGAGAGUAUUGUGCUUACAAAUAAAAAGCCUUUCUUGUUGAGAAAUUGAGUGUAGUACUUAUAUUUGCUUAUUCUUAAGAGAUAAGUUGUAUUAUUUUCAUUCUUGUUAUUUUGAUUAAGUAUUGUAAGAGAGUUGUUGAGCUCUUGUUAGCUUGAGUGAUAGAGUGUGAUUGCUUAGAAGAAUUGUACUCUAGAUAAACAAGAGAGUGUUUGAGAGAGUAGAUCAACCAAGGGUUAGCUCGAAUAUCACCAAGUAUAAAGAUUGCUUGCACCUGGAAGACAAGUACUUUGUAAAACUUUGGAUAAGCAUAGUAGAUUAAAUCUCGAGAAGGAGUCCCGGAGAGUAGAUGUAGGCUCACAAAAAGACUGAACCACUAUAAAUCAUCGUGUAUCACUUUUCUUCCCUUCACUCUUUAUUUUUCUAUAUUUAGUUGUAUAUUUGUGAUUAUUACUUGCAAUACUUGUUGCAUCCAACGACGCUUAUACGCGUCGUCUUAGGUCUAGACCUUUGACGAUGCUUAUAAGCAUCGUCUUAGGCCAGGUUGACUCCGACGAUGCUCUAUAGCAUCGUCUACUCCCCGUGCCUGCCAACGCUACUUUGAAGCGCCGACAAAUUUUGGCGUUGGAGCCAAAAUUACCAAUGCUUCUAUAUAGCAUUGGCUUUUUGUAGUUGGAAAAGCCUGGGGGUUGGCGCAUUGCUGCUGAUUGGAACGACCACUCCUUCCCCGAUUGAAAUCGUUGCGUGUAGCAACAUUUGUUGAGCCAAUAUUCAACUCUACAACGGAAUGGAGGUGAUCAAGAUGGAGCUCAUGAUUGAGAAGAUGACCAUAAAUGUCUUCAAGAGACAUAGCAUCAACUCUGGUUUGAUUGUCGUAACUAGUGAUUCAAAAGAAAAAUCAAGUCCUACUAAAAGAAAUUGGACAAUUUCAAAAUCUUGGAGAGUUUGGCCAAUAGCGGCAAGAACAUCAGAAAGAGAUUUAACUUAUUGAAAAUAAUUAGAAUGGAGGAGUUGCCUUUUUUGAUGGUUGAAAGCUAGUAGAGGAUUUGCAUCACAUGAGCCCGAGAGUGAGAAGAAAACAUGUGCUCCAAGCCCACCCAAAAAGCCCAGAAACUUGUCAAGCCAACAACCUUGGCCAUGACACUGUCGGAAAGAGAGGACAUGAUGGUGCUGAAGAAGACUUGGUCUUGUUGGAAGUACAAUUAAAGGAUGGAUUGAGUGUAUAGGUAGAGGGCGGGGAAGAGGUGGCAGGUGACUCAAUAUAUUACGGAGGUAUGGAAAAGCUUUUAUCAACGUAACCAAACAAUUGUUGGCCAAGUAGGUAGGAUAUGACUUGAGUUUUCCAAAGAAGAUAAUUGUCGGUGGUGAGUUUGAUAGUGACAAGGUUGUGCAUGCCGACCAUGGUAGAAACUUGAGAAAGGUUGGGUUGGCUGGUAGUAGGAAUGAUGUUUUGAGUAGUGGUGGGUGGAGGUUUGUUUGGGCUGGAAGAGAGGGAAGACAUGGUGACGAUGUGUGUUGUUUUGAAGGCUUUGAUACCAUGAAAAAGAAAAUGCCGAAUUAAGUAAUGACAAGGGACUCGCAUACCUUGUGUGGCAUGCCGUGUAUUUUAUUUAUAGAAAGUAAUUACAAUAUGUUUUUGUAAAUAAUUACAAGGAAUGCGAGAGCAUUAAUCACGGGUCAGUGACAAUUCGUUCUUUCUCUAUUUAUAAUUCUUUUCUUCUCUGUAGGAGGAUCUCGAAUCUCACUAAUAGGAAAGAGCAUAAAUCACAGGUCAAUGACAAUUCGUUCCUUCUCUAUUUACAAUGCUUUCUUUCUCUAUAGGAGGAUCUCGAAUUUCACUAAUACAUAUUAGCUACUUUUCAAUGGGACAUAUGGAUUUACCUCUACCUUAAAUUGAGUAAGCUUUUCAUGUGUUCUUGGCUAUGAAUUUGCAAUCAAGUUCUCAAAGAUGGCUGAUGCAAGCUAUUAAUAAUUUUUCCAUACAUUCUUGGAACCCUUUGAACUCAGAAAUGGUGCAAGUAGACAAUCCUUGUUUCAUGGCUUAGGUGGUGUAAAGGUACCAUGAUGACGAGGACAAUCAUGACAUGUUUCUAUAUAUGAGUUACGUAAGGGUGAUACAUAGAGCAAGUGCAUAUUUGGAGCCUCUUAAGUUGACUUGCAUGCAUAUUAAUUAAGCUAUAAACAUGAUCUAUCUUAGAUGUUUGAACGUUUGUAUGCCAAAGUUGAGCUGCAACAAAGCUAUGGUAAGCUUGCAACUCGAAUUGUGUUUAAAAUGACAGCAAGAUGACUUUCAAGGAUCAAGCCCUAACCGUUUGCCCCCUUUCUUUCACACUCUCCACUCUCUUUCUACUAUCCCAUGGUAUGCCCUUUUGCUAGACGCAAACUCCCUUCCCUUCCUCUCCAUAUUGGUGAUGGAAACCUCCUCUUUUGCCUUCAUCUCUACCUUAAUCACUGCAUCCGUCCUCUCCUUCACCUCCAUCUCCUCUCCUCCUCCACCCUCCCUUCUCACGGCUUCCUCCACCACUUCCUCACAAUCUCUCCUCCCUCCUCUUACUCCUUCACCUUCUUCUCUCCUACAAUUUUUUAUGGCACUUCUUGCACCUCAACCCUCCUUCCAUCCUACAACUCCACCUACUCCUUCCCUUCUCUUUCUUUGCUGCCACCAAUAGCCUCCUUCUUUGCUUCCAUCUCUUCCUCCAUCACUCCCUCCUUUUCUACUCUUUUCUAGCCUUCAUCUGAUCAUCUGCUUCUCUCUCCUCCUUCAUCCUCGCCCCUUUGCCACUUUUCUUUUUCUAAGGGAAUGACGAUAGCGCGAUCACCAUUUCAUUGAUUGAAAUGAAAAGAUAAAGCAAAAUCAUGGCUAAAAAGAAGAAAGAGAGAUAAAAAAAGAAAUGGAGCAAAAGGAGGGGAUGGGCCAGAAACAUAGGUAAUGCUUCAUGAAGCCCUUAAUAAUGAUUAAGAAUAGUCUUAAAAAAAAGAAGAAGCCAGGGAUAUUAGCACAACUAGCACACUAAACCUAUACCAAAAAAACUAAGUCCAAGCCACUUGUGUAUAUGUUGAUGCUAUCCAUCUCCAUGCAGCUACAGGAUUGGACUCGAGGCCAUUAAAGAUUCUCCCAACAUUGAGAACAUUACCAGCAAGAUAGGAAACAAUUUAUUCUUUUUCUCAAGUGUCGUUGUUGUCCAUGGCUUUGCAAAUAAGAAAAUAGACCUAAAAACUUGCAUUGCAAAUACUUCCGCACAAAGAUAUAAAGAUAUGAGCAUUCAUCUCCCUUCAGAUAAACAAAGAUACUGUCACUAUAAGGUGAUCUUGUUUGAGUCACUUCAACUUAGAAGCACCAUUCCCCCAUCAGAGGGUGAGCCUCUUACAGCUCAAAUGUUGUAACUUGACUAGAGGGCUAUUUGGAGCCUUGUAGUUAAAGUUGUCUUGCAACUCAAGUUCUGUCGCAACUUCACUAUAGUUGAUUUAUAAGAAAACUCAUUUCUUGUAUUUGAAGGAUAGUUAGAGAAAAAAGAGGUGUCCUUGAUAGAUGUUCUAUCUUAUGAGUGAAUGCUAGGUUAGAGCACUCAUUCAUCAAGAUGAUGGCAUUCUGGAUGAGGAGAUUAGCACUGAAACUGUCGGUGGUGAGGGCCUAAGCAUCCAUGGGUAGGGAGUGAGUGGCAACGUAAACUUUAUCUUUGGUACGAAGGAUGGAUACGAGAAGAACAAUAGAUGAGAGAGAGGAUGGAUGGAUCUUUCAUCUAUCCUCCAUGUGUUUGAUAAAACAUGAAAGGUUGGAUAUGAAUAAUUCCAUUCUUUACUUAGUACAAGAGGAAUAAAAGGAAGGAUAGAUAAUAUUUGUAUAAUAUUUUUGUUAAACUAUCCUCCGAUAAAAAAAUAUUAUUGACAAUCUAUAACACUUAUUUAUACUAAAAAAAGUAGGGCAAUAUGUAAAUUUAUAAUCUUUAUAAGUUAUUGAUGGGGGGCGAAAUGGAUCGUCCAGCCCACAGCUAAAACGCCGCCCAGUUCUGGCCCAAUAAACGCCAACACCGUCCGAUCGAAUCCUCAGUUCGGCUCGGAACCAGCUUGGCUUCAAAUAUUCGCCGACUUCCCUGAUCAAGUUCGGGGUGCCUCCAAUGUUCGCCGACNNNNNNNNNNNNNNNNNNNNNNNNNNNNNNNNNNNNNNNNNNNNNNNNNNNNNNNNNNNNNNNNNNNNNNNNNNNNNNNNNNNNNNNNNNNNNNNNNNNNNNNNNNNNNNNNNNNNNNNNNNNNNNNNNNNNNNNNNNNNNNNNNNNNNNNNNNNNNNNNNNNNNNNNNNNNNNNNNNNNNNNNNNNNNNNNNNNNNNNNNNNNNNNNNNNNNNNNNNNNNNNNNNNNNNNNNNNNNNNNNNNNNNNNNNNNNNNNNNNNNNNNNNNNNNNNNNNNNNNNNNNNNNNNNNNNNNNNNNNNNNNNNNNNNNNNNNNNNNNNNNNNNNNNNNNNNNNNNNNNNNNNNNNNNGAGUUCUCUGGCUCUCACCAAGACUGGAUAGAAAAAGGCCCAAGAGGAAUUGUUGUGAGAUUGGCAAUAUUAAAAGAGGGCAUUUGUGGGCUUUAAUGAAAAAAGGGAAACAUUUUCAUCUAGCAACGACAAUUUUAGAUUAACUCCACUCGGUAAUCUGAUGUAGGAGAGAAACCACCCUUUGGUGGUAUUUAUUUUACCUCCUCUCUUCGUGCACUAGAUGUGUGACCCAUCAUUUAGUUUGCUCUCUCUCUCAUCCUCUUUUUGUACCAAACAUAAAAAUCUGAUAUGAGAUUUUUUUUUUCAUACCAAAUUACUCCCAACCAAACCAACCUUGAGAAUACAAUUCUUGUCAAUUUUUGAGACGAUCAUUUUGAUCUUAAGUUUUUCUUGCAUGAGUUCACUUUACUAGUAUAUUUAAAGUUAUUAAGAAUUAUUCAUGUCAUGUGCUUGAAAAUAAAUCUCCAAGAUUCAAAUGCAAAACCUCUUUUCAUUUCUAAAAAGAAAAACCAAUAAGGUUUUUUUGGUUGGAGUAUGUCGGGUUAUAUGAUAAUCUAACGAUUUUUGGAAUUNNNNNNNNNNNNNNNNNNNNNNNNNNNNNNNNNNNNNNNNNNNNNNNNNNNNNNNNNNNNNNNNNNNNNNNNNNNNNNNNNNNNNNNNNNNNNNNNNNNNNNNNNNNNNNNNNNNNNNNNNNNNNNNNNNNNNNNNNNNNNNNNNNNNNNNNNNNNNNNNNNNNNNNNNNNNNNNNNNNNNNNNNNNNNNNNNNNNNNNNNNNNNNNNNNNNNNNNNNNNNNNNNNNNNNNNNNNNNNNNNNNNNNNNNNNNNNNNNNNNNNNNNNNNNNNNNNNNNNNNNNNNNNNNNNNNNNNNNNNNNNNNNNNNNNNNNNNNNNNNNNNNNNNNNNNNNNNNNNNNNNNNNNNNNNNNNNNNNNNNNNNNNNNNNNNNNNNNNNNNNNNNNNNNNNNNNNNNNNNNNNNNNNNNNNNNNNNNNNNNNNNNNNNNNNNNNNNNNNNNNNNNNNNNNNNNNNNNNNNNNNNNNNNNNNNNNNNNNNNNNNNNNNNNNNNNNNNNNNNNNNNNNNNNNNNNNNNNNNNNNNNNNNNNNNNNNNNNNNNNNNNNNNNNNNNNNNNNNNNNNNNNNNNNNNNNNNNNNNNNNNNNNNNNNNNNNNNNNNNNNNNNNNNNNNNNNNNNNNNNNNNNNNNNNNNNNNNNNNNNNNNNNNNNNNNNNNNNNNNNNNNNNNNNNNNNNNNNNNNNNNNNNNNNNNNNNNNNNNNNNNNNNNNNNNNNNNNNNNNNNNNNNNNNNNNNNNNNNNNNNNNNNNNNNNNNNNNNNNNNNNNNNNNNNNNNNNNNNNNNNNNNNNNNNNNNNNNNNNNNNNNNNNNNNNNNNNNNNNNNNNNNNNNNNNNNNNNNNNNNNNNNNNNNNNNNNNNNNNNNNNNNNNNNNNNNNNNNNNNNNNNNNNNNNNNNNNNNNNNNNNNNNNNNNNNNNNNNNNNNNNNNNNNNNNNNNNNNNNNNNNNNNNNNNNNNNNNNNNNNNNNNNNNNNNNNNNNNNNNNNNNNNNNNNNNNNNNNNNNNNNNNNNNNNNNNNNNNNNNNNNNNNNNNNNNNNNNNNNNNNNNNNNNNNNNNNNNNNNNNNNNNNNNNNNNNNNNNNNNNNNNNNNNNNNNNNNNNNNNNNNNNNNNNNNNNNNNNNNNNNNNNNNNNNNNNNNNNNNNNNNNNNNNNNNNNNNNNNNNNNNNNNNNNNNNNNNNNNNNNNNNNNNNNNNNNNNNNNNUAAAUAAUAAUAAUACUUAGUUAUAUAUAUAUAUAUAUAGAGAGAGAGAGAGAGAGAGAGAGAGAUACGUGUCAAAAAAAAUCUCAUGCCUUUUCUGUCUGGGUUUCUCCUCCGUCCUCCCAAAACGAACACUGUGCUCUGAAUUCCUAAACCCUCUCCCUUCGAUCCGAGAAGAAUGAGAGCGAGAAGAACGACUCCAACUUCUGCCCGAAGAUCCUCUGCAGUCAUCCCUAAAACCCUACUCGGUCUCACCGUUCUCUAGAUCCAAUCCAGGGCCAUGUCCUCCUACUCCGGCGGCGGGAGGCGGCCAAAGAAGAAAGUCUGCCGCCGCGUCCCGGAGCCAUAAACCUCCCGAAGAAGCCCGCCCUCCUCCUCCACCUCCACUCCAUCAUUUCCUCCUGCAAGAGCCGCUCCGUCCUCCUCCGCGACCUCGAGAAGGAGUCAAGGAGGUCACCUUCGUCCAGAACUGGAACCACCUCUCCCUCAUCCAGCGCCAUCCCGCCAUGUUCAAGGUCUCCAGCGGAGGCGCCUCCCGGGGCCCCAUCUCCGUCAGGCUAACAGAGAAAGACGGCAGGGUGUCCGCCGAGGAGGCCGAAGCUAUCUGUUCUAUCUCCGUCAGGCCCACGGUGAAAGUAUCCGGAGUAUUUCCCGUCCGGAAUGUGAAUGGGGUGGACUAUCUCUAUCUGGAAAGCUGGGAUUCUUCAUUGGCUAUCGCUGCUCGUGAAGAAAAAUUGAAACUUGGAAGUGUUCUGAAGGUGACCAAGGUGAUUCCUGGAGAUGGUAAUUUCUCUGGCCCGUUUGCUUUUAAGUUGAAAUUUCCUUCUGGUUUCGGGCCAAACAAGCAUUAGCUUGAGGAAGAGCUAAAAUGGAGAAAAUGGCGUUCUCUUCUCCAUAUUUUAAUCUGCAUGAGCUAUUCAAUUUGACUGUGGAAAAUCAUUUAUCAGAUAAAUUGGAUGCAUUUCAUAAGGAGUAUUGGCUGCUAUCCCAGCUGUUGCGGGUCAAGAAUCAUGGGAUUUUUAUAUCAAGAAUAAGGGGCAAGAAGUACUGUUUUUCUUAAAGAGGCUUAUGAUGUACCCAAUCUGAUUGAGAAAUGUCCUCUGUUGAGAUUUUAUGAUAGGUUUACAUCACUAAUUGGCAGGAAAUGCUCUGAUUUGAGUAAUGUGAUGGCAAUAUGAAGGGAUUUGUUAUGUCACUAGGAUGCUUUCAUGUUCAUGUGAAAUGCUCCUCUCUUGUUGGUUCUAGUUAGGUUGAUUUUUUCUGCUGUGUUUCUAGCCAAACAAGAGCAAGGAUAACCUUGAGCAGGUGAUGAAAUGGCUGAAAAUGGUCUUCCCUUCUUUGGUAUGACUGUAUGAGGAGAAUUGGGCUCAUGAACCUGCAGGCCUGGAAAUGGGUGGGUCGCAAUGCUGCAGAAGCUCCAAAAUUUGUCUGUGGCAAAGAGGGCGACAUCUGAUUAAAAUUGCUUGCAUUUCAUAAAGGGUAUCACUUUCCUUCAAGCUGUUUCUUUGCUUGGCUAGGAAUCUUCAGAUGCUUCAACAUCAUCAAUAAGGGAACAUGGAGUACUGUUUUUCCUCUGAGGAGGCUCAUGACGAACUUAAUCUGAUUGAGAAAUGUCUUCCGUAGAGUUUUCAUGAUAUUUUCUGGCACUCAUUGGCAGGAUAUGCUCUAUUUGAGUAAUGUGGCAAUACUAUGGAGUUUGACAUGUUGAUUUUAUGACAGAAGUCAAGCUGAUGCCAAAUGCUCUUCUCUUCUUAAGCUAUCCUGAAGAGAAACUCGGCCGACGCAUAUGCCUUUCUUCACUCAGGUAUGUGUCAAAUAUUCAAAAUUUUUAACUUGUUUUGAGGAAUUUCAUUUAAAUGUCAAUUCAUGUGCUAAUGCAACGAAACACUGACAUUUCCUAAAGCAUUUUUUUUUUUUUGGGUGGGGUGGGGUGGGGUGUGGAGAGGCAUAAGAGGCUGUGGAACACUGUUAGCUAGGAGAUAUGCUCAAUUCAAAUUUCAUUAAAAAAUUUAUUGGUCUCAAGCCUUUUUGAUCUGUAUUAAGUGCUUUCUUUUAACAGGCAUACAUAAUUUUACAUUGUUGAGAAAGCUGGAAUUCAUAUUCUUCUCAAAUAGUGAAAUAUAAACUUCAUGAUGGCCCAUCAUCAUCAUUUAGAAAAAAAUGAAGAACAAUCUUUUUUUUUUGCAAGACUUACACCAAAAUACAAGACCAUAUAGCAAUCUUUAUUUAGGUUUGCUCUGGAAGUUUGAAGUAAAGAUCUGAAACAAAUUUCAGAUAUGAGGAAUUUUACAGAAUCUGAAUUUGUUUCAGAUUUCUGUGAAGAAAAUUAGCACACUAACAAAACCCUGCUCCCAAAGCAAUUUUAUCCAUGAUCUUAGGAAAAUUCUCAAGCACAAAAAAGGGAAAGAAGAAUAAUCGAAAAGAAAUUUUAAUUUUUUUCAUUCAUCAUCUAAAAUUAAUUUUUACUCAUAUAAUUCGAGGGACCAUACCAGUCUAAGGAAGUAGUGUUUACCUUUCCGUGAUGUGGUAUUAGCAAGAUACCUCCACAUGCAGUUAAUAAAUACCUUCUGAAAAAUAACUACCUUUAACAUAAGUUGCAAAUUGGUAAAGGUGAGCUUCUUCAAGAUCCUUGAUGUUUACAUACUCACGAUAGCAUUCUUGACAUCAGCUUCUCUAUUGCUUCCGAUGCCAAAAGCAUGUGUAUUUUGUAUUGCAUGGAUUGGAUGAUUGGAAAUCUACUUCCAGUUUCUGUCAAUGAUAUUUGGUAAGUGUUUUUUGGUGUAGCUAAAAGUAAACAUAUUUGCUGUUUUUCAUCAAAGGAAGCAAAAAUUUAAGGUUGAUCAUGCAGUGCCCAAGUGGCACGUGAGAUGGUCGUUAAAGUUGGUCCAAACAUCUUGAAGUUAUUAUUGGCUGGAAAAUGCAUUUAUUGACUGCUGAGGUCCCUUGAUCAUUUAUUAUAGGCAGUUGAUAUUUGGCCAAUUGCCUUUUAGUUUCUUGUGAAAGCAUAUGGUACUUGUGUAGUCUUUUUAGUAUUUCAUAUAAACUUUUUGUUCUUGUGCAUUCCCUCCUAGCCAUGGAUGAAUCUAUUUUAUUAUUUUUUGUGUGCACGCAUAGAAAUGGAGACAUGGCUAUGCCUAUAUAUAAGGGGUGCUUUGUGAGAGAGAAAUCAAGUUGUUUGGAUCUAUGUUACCUGAUUCAUGGGUUCUCAUGGUAUGGGUCUGGGUUUGUAAUUUGAAAUUUAGUGCGUAAUAAUGAAUAAAUACAACAAGAGUAGGAUUAGAAAAUACAAUCCUAAAACUUAAAAUAUGUCCUAAUUUUGAUUAGGAUAGGUGACUGUUGCAAUCUCACUAAGUUAUAGAAAUUAAAUGACAAAACACUAUAAUCCCUUGAUCCUGAUCCCUAUAUGCAAGCCAAUGCCAAGCAUUUUGACUUUAUUUUAAUUAAGGCAAAGCGUUAUCCUUAAAAGUGCGGACACAAUCAGCCAGUUAUAAAAUUGAUUUCUAUUCACCAUUUGAUAUUAUACAGAGCUUAUUUGCUUUCCGAAUAUCUUUUGAUUUGAGAUAUCUUACGAAUAUCUCUCACCCACUUCAUAUUCACUGAUUGAACCCCUAUUUGUUUCCCAGCAGCAGAAAGUCACAAUUCUACCAAUUUGGAAUCCCACUUGCAUGGCUUUCUCUCGAUGUAACUCCCAUCUAGAGUCUACAAACUAUGAGCCCUAAAUCCUCAUAAACCGGUAGCAUCUAAACCUUGUUUGUCUUGAUAAGGUAAGUUUUUUCCCUAUCUCAUCUUUUGAUUUACAUUGGAUCAUAUUAUGAAUUUAUUCAAAUCACACUGAUUUAUAAUGUGCAUUUAUGCCAGGCAAUUUAGGUAGCUCUUGUUUGGAUUAAAAAAUUUCCCUUUUCAUUUAGAAGAUAGUUCUUCUAAGUCUCAUGUUGCUCAUAUCCCCUUGGUGGAUUCCUUAAGAUGGCGAACCUAUAUCUGUGGUUGCUUUUGUGUUCCCUGCUUAUACUUCUCUACCAGCCAAUGUCAAGAUUGUUAUCAAACCCAAGUUGAUGGCUAAGCACUAGCAUUGUGGACCAAGAGUAAAAGGCACUCCAUUAUGCGAAUAAGACUAAUGUGACAUCAAUAUGGAUGACUCGAGGAGACAAGUGCAGCAACUAGAAGAGCAUGUAGUUUGUUAUCGGGCGUUUGGACAUGGUGUAUCUCUUUACGUUUCAAAACAUGAAAUUCUUAGCAAUUUUGAAGAGGAGCUUAACCCCUUCCACUGUACUAAUGGUUGGAUGUUAAGCAAAGAUCUGUCACACCCCGAACUUAGAGCGUAACAGACGCCGCAUACCUGUAUGGCGGACCAUAUAGGCAUGCAAGGCUGCAGAUCAUAUCAAAGCAAUAAUAAUUUCUGAAAAUUUAUUUAAUCAACAUCUUAUUCAAAUAAUUCUCACAAUAUCUCCAAGGUGACAUAAGUCAACAAUUGCUAACUACUAACGUAAAAUAUUCUAACUAGACUGACUAAAACUCCAAUGAUUGAAAAAUAGAGAAACAUAAUAAUGAGCUAUACAAGCCCAAUAAGCAACAUAAUACCCCAAGGUGGGGUCAAAGCAUGCCAAAUAAUUUAGUUAAAAGCACAAAAUAUUGACUGAAAAAUAAAUUAUUUCUCGAAUAAUGCAUAUUUCUUUUGAAACAUACUAUAGUUUUUACAAAAAAUGCCAGAAAGAGAACUCAAAAAUCAGAAAUCAGGCUAUGGUCACGUAACCCAGUGGCAUGAGUUGCACAAAGUGCCAAAAAUCACUAUUAUUAACCACCGGUGACGACAGUGUCCAAAUACCACUAUUCUAAUCACCGGUGGUGCAGUGUCGAAAUCAGUUUUCUACAGAUUACAAGUUGAUAGGACCAACGAAUAAUCUCUAUUGGCGGGGCCAGAACAGAUUAUAACUGUGUUGAAAAUGCAUAUUUAUAAAACAAAUUUUUCAUGAUUUGCUCAGUCAUUUUUUUUUUCAGAUUUUAUAACAUAGCACAUAAUAUAUUUUAAAGUAAUCAUAACAUGAACAUGCCUGACCCGUUUAACUAAGUAUAAAAUAGAUAUCAUAAUUAAAUUUAAUCAAGUAAUUAUUAUUUUACCAAAAAUUCAAAAAAUACACAUUGAAGCAUUAGGUUAGUUGCCUCUUAUCACUUCAAAAUUUCACUCCAGUUAGACAAGUGCACUUGUUUUAAUAUAAUUAAAAUAUCAUAAAUUUCAUUAUCAUUCCAUAAGUCAAGCGAAGUCAAAAUCAAACACUACUGGAGAACGACUUCAUGCCCCCAGAUCAGGUCGGUCACGUGAUAGUGCCCGACUACCCAGGUCGGUCCGAGCAAGGAGGAUUCAAGGUGAACAUCAAAAGUGACUAAAUCUAGCUGGGGUUGAAGUAAUGGAUCGGUCUACCGCACGAGUAUCGAGACAGUUCAGGGUCUCCAAACUGGGUCAACUUGGAUCCGAGCAACAAGAAGAGCAAAGAUUACACUAGGAUUCCUAAGUCUGUCUAGAGAGAGAAAAAAGGGAGAGGAGAGAGAUUCUCAGUCCGAGUUUAAUCAGGGAUCUAGGUUUUGUCCAUCGAUGACACGAGCUAUCCAGGAUCAUCAAUAUAUCUGGUCUUUGAGUCAACUGGAGAGAGAAAAAGAAGGUUUUCCUUCUUUCUUUCUUUUUUUUAAAUUAAUUAAUUACAAAUAGGAGAAAGAUGGGAAGAAAGUAGAAGAAAUAAGAAGAUCAAAGAGGAGGAAGAGAGGGAAGAGGAGAAGGAUGAGGCCGGGGAAGAAGGUCCGGCGGAGGCUGGGCCUGGGUGGUAGACGACCAACCGUUGAUAGCAGGUGGCGGCGGCAUCUACGACAGUCGGCGAGAAAGGAAGACUGAGAUCAUUCUCGGUUUGGCCAAAAUAGGGGAAGACAGCCGCUCGGUUGGCUUGACUAAAGGAAUAGGGGAAGAGAGCUUACCAACGGUCGACGGAGGUGGCGGUUCUCAGCCGAGGGAGGCUCGGUCUGGCGGCUUGCGGCGACGGUGCUCGAAACAGGGAGAAGAAGCAAAAAUAGUGUCGUCGGUGGUCUAGAAGGAAAAACAAGGGACUUCGGCAACGACGCUUGGCCGAGGCGGCACUCCGGUCACUGGAGAAGAGGGAGGAGGAGGUGCUCGGUGGAGCUCAGAGAUGAGUCAAUCGUUGAGAGAUAGAAGAUUUAUAGAAGGUUUUCCGAAGGAGAUUAGCUAGAGGGUGAGGGGAUAAGGCCCGGGGGGGGGGGGGUUGCUUCGUCGCAAGAAUCGCGGCGGAUGGACUUAAUCGAAGAGGAGGCUAGGCUUAUCCUAGCCUUCGACAGUGCCUGCGGUGGAGGACUUUUACUCCUCCGCAUGGUUGAACAGGGCUCUGCCCUAUUCCGAAUGGGAAGAGGGCUUUCGGACCCUCUCUUGGUGUUGGGCCGGCCCAGUGAGGCUGAGCCUCACAACUUAACCCCUUCCAUUGUGCUAAUCGCUGGAAGUUAAGCAAAGACCUAAGAGGCUUUCUCUGAUUGCCACACUCAAAGGGACUAAGGUUUCCUUUGAGACUACGACAUUAAGGUGGGCCUUCUUGAUUUUGAAGGUUAGAUGCAACCCGAUGAAUUCAUUAAUUGAUUCAAUAUUUUCAAGCGAUAUUUUGACUGUAAAGAAGUCCUUGAUCAUCAAAAGGUGAAGUUUGUUGCCACCAAAUUGAAGAAGCAUGCUUCCAUUUGAUGGGAGCAACUUGGAAUUUGGUGAGCAUAUGAAGGUAAGUCCUUCAGUGGUUCACAAGAGAAGAUGAAGGAAGAACUUUGUAAGAAGUGCUUACUAGAGAACUAUUUGUGAAAUACUUUUCUAAAGGUCCACCAUCUUCAACAAGGUACUUGCUUUGUAACAAUGUUUAGAUAUGGAAAUGUUGCAAUAUUUAGCCAAGAUGGCAGGUCCAUCGCCAUCUUUACUGAAAAACUGAGUAAUUCUCACAUAAGAUAGUCAUUACUAUAAAGACUUCUAUGUUAUCAUUUGAGCUUUGGGGCAUUAGUGGCACAACUUUGUAUCAGAGUACUUUAUCCUUUUUCGGAUCAUGAGACAUUGAGAUAUAUAAAUAGUCAAUAUAAGCUCAAGCUCAAUGAUAAAGAUGCAUAAUGGAUAGAAUUUCUUUAAACCGAUACUUUUGAUCUCAAGUACAAACUUGGCAUACAAAAUCCUGUCGUAGCUGCAUCGAGUCAAAGACAUUCUUUCUCACCAUGCAAGUGAGGGUUCUUGGCUUUAAAGUUUUGGAAGAUCUGUACCAAGUUUUGCCGUCUUUGUAUUGGACCCCAUACUAGUGCCACACUAGCACAGUAUCGGUAAGGUAUGGUACAAAUUUUUUUGGCAUACCGAGUGUUGAUACGCCACCUGUACCACAUACCGGUACCGAAACGAUACGGUACAGUACAUCCUAUACCAUCCGGUUUGGGCCGGUACGGCGUACCAUAAUCUGUACAAAGAUGACCCAUAUGUUGGCUAGAUUUGGAGUAAAUGCUCCAAAAGUCUACAUCAAAAGUUUUUGUUGCAAGGCAGGUUCUUAUUCAAGAAAAAUCUUCUUUCUUGAGUGCUUACUACGAGCAUUCAUUAUCAAAGAGACAUAUGGUGAAGGGAUUUGAUGGCCACUUUUAAAGAGACUAAACGUUUGCUCUUUGUUUUCCUCCAGGUGUUGGGCAGUGGGUGGGUAAUUAGAAGGGAUUGGGCACCAAACUAAACUCCUAGGAAAUUGCUUCCUCUACAAUCCGCCAUCAUGGCUAUAAACAACCUUAUCAACAGAACCGCAAGCAAGAUCAGCUGCAACUGUUUCCUGAUUGAUUCCCUUCACGAUAAAUAUAAGGUGCUUUCCACUAAUGUCAGCAAUGAAUGGAUAGCUGCAAUUUCUGUUAAUGCGAUCCAAGCAAUCGCAGUGGAGGAAUUGCCCACAAACCUGACUUUUGAGCAUUCAAAUGUUUAGCAGCAUAGUGUAGGCCUACUCAAGUUUCUACUAUCUUUUAGGUCUUACCUUGGAAUAGAUGAAAGUUUUGAGCAUUCCAAAUUUGUUAGAGAAUAUAGGCAAUUUGGGCCUUUAAUCAACUGUCUGCCAGAUUGUGAGGAGGGGAGGCAAGGGAAUGAAAGAUGUAUUCCCGGCUCAAUUGGUUUUUUUGUCAUCUCGGCAUGGUCCCAAACCUGCCUGGCCCAGGGACAUUGAAGCAGAUUGUUCGGAACAUUUUCUCUGACCAUGGAGCAUUUGGAGUGCACUCCUUGUCCAAACCUAUGGCAGAUAAUACAUUAGAACAUGGUACGGGAUACCAAGGCAUCUUCCACAAGAAGCACUAAACCUUUAGGCUGCGUUUGGAAGCAGAUUAACAUGGAAUCAGAGCUACCUAGUCCAGUUAUUUCACCAAGCAUCAAAUUCUUAUCCCACUCAUUCCAAAAUAAACUACUUUGGUCAAAAUCAGUCCAAGUCUAGCUAACUUGUUUAACCCAGAGUAAACUACUCCAUUGGAAGAGGUGGAGUAGUAUAAUCCACAAUAUACUCCUCUCAUCUUUCCGAAAAAUAACCAUGAUCCCUCUUCUCUCUAAUGAAGUUAAGAAGCCAGUUUGGCUUUUACUGAUAACCUUUAUGCAGUCAAUCAUCAAUCUAUGUUGUUUCUUAUAAUUUAUACGUGGUUUUUGUUUGAAUUAUUCGUGAUAUGAUUUGACUUGAUAAACUCAAUAAAUCAAAAAAUAAAUCUUAAACCCAACCUAAUUUGAUCUGAAUGGAAAUGGAUUAUUUUUUUUUCAUUUUGAUUCAAAUUGGAUUUAAUUUGGGUUAUGCCAAUCCCAAACAUGUUUGUUCCCGGUUUUUAUCUAAUAAUUUAACACUAUUUUUGAA
rnacentral:lncRNA from 1 species